rnacentral:rRNA from 1 species
UAGUCCACACCGUAAACGAUGAAUGCUAGUUGUUGGCAGGCAUGCCUGUCGGUGACGCAGCUAACGCAUUAAGCAUUCCGCCUGGGGAGUACGGCCGCAAGGUUAAAACUCAAAGAAAUUGACGGGGGCCCGCACAAGCGGUGGAGCAUGUGGUUUAAUUCGAAGCAACGCGCAGAACCUUACCCGCGUUCGACAUGCCCUGUUUGAUUUUCAGAGAUGAAUUUCUUCAAUUCGGUUGGACCGUGCACAGGUGCUGCAUGGCCGUCGUCAGCUCGUGUCGUGAGAUGUUGGGUUAAGUCCCGCAACGAGCGCAACCCUCACUUUUAGUUGCCAGCAUUUAGUUGGGCACUCUAGAAGAACUGCCGGUGCUAAGCCGGAGGAAGGUGGGGAUGACGUCAGGUCCUCAUGGCCCUUACGGGUAGGGCUACACACGUGCUACAAUGGCGCUGACAGAGGGUUAAUCCCUAAAAGGCGUCUCAGUUCGGAUUGUCCUCUGCAACUCGAGGG